CCUACGGGAGGCAGCAGUGAGGAAUAUUGGUCAAUGGGAGAGAUCCUGAACCAGCCAAGCCGCGUGCGGGAAGACGGCCCUAUGGGUUGUAAACCUCUUUUGUCGGAGAACAAAACCCGGGACGUGUCCCGGACUGCGUGUAUCCGAAGAAAAAGCAUCGGCUAACUCCGUGCCAGCAGCCGCGGUAAUACGGAGGAUGCGAGCGUUAUCCGGAUUUAUUGGGUUUAAAGGGUGCGUAGGCGGUCCGUUAAGUCAGCGGUAAAAUUGCGGGGCUCAACCCCGCCGAGCCGGUGAAACUGGCAGACUUGAGUUGGCGAGAAGUACGCGGAAUGCGCGGUGUAGCGGUGAAAUGCAUAGAUAUCGCGCAGAACUCCGAUUGCGAAGGCAGCGUACUGGCGCCAGACUGACGCUGAGGCACGAAAGCGUGGGGAUCGAACAGGAUUAGAUACCCCUGUAGUC
rnacentral:rRNA from 1 species